CUGUGUGCUCAAGCCCUCUCCUGGCGACGCCUGCCCUGACAACUUCUAAAUGGCCAGCCCGCCCCUGGGGAAAAGCAGAGAGGAAUCCUCUUUGGACUCUUGCACCUCAAAGGAAUGGCUAAGAUCAUUCACGGAGAAUGCCAAGUGAAAAGACCAUUGAAAGAAACCAGGGGACAAUAACAUUCAAGGCACAGGCAGAUGAAAAGAUGCUUCAGAAGAAAACUGAGGAGAAGCUGCUCUAAAGGAAAGAGAAGACAGAAGAGGUAGGCACCACAGCAAUCACUGAGAAGAAUCCCCAAAACAAGUAGCAGUCAAACACCAGAUCCAUCACAGGACAAGCAAGGUAAUUUAAGGGUAUCCUCUGACUUAGCAGUAAGGAGAUGGCAAGAAUGGUUUCAGUGGGCUAGUUGAAGAAUAAAGAAGUAGAAACAAAGUAUCACAUUUUCUAAAAUAGAAUUGGAAAGGCAUGUUGGGAGACCAGCUAUAAGGGAGUAGAGAAUGCAAAAGAAGAGAGGAGCUGUUUUUGAAGCAGGAUGGAAGGAGACAGAUGCCAAGGAAAGGGAAGAAAAAAGAGACUGGGGGAGGGAGUGGCAGGGAACUGACAGCAUAGACAGCCGCUGCCUCAUGUUUAACAAAGAAUUUUGCUCAGAGCAGAGGGAGAGGAGGAAAGUGAAGACAUGACAGAGAGGUGAAAGCCUGAAAAGUACAAACAUUAAGAAAUGACUGAAGGACUUUGAGCAGUCCAGGAAACUAAUGAAGAGGAGACCUCGACUUUUAAAGCUCUAAGCCCACAGGAGGGCAUGGUUUCUCUCCAAAGAUUAUCAGCAUCUCAUCCAAAGUAGCAAUACCUUCCAGUUGGUUCCAACAGAAGGUCCAAAUCUCUCCAUUACACCACAAACUGAGUAUCACUAUCCUAAUCAUACAUCUGGAUUCUAGCUCUUUAGCAGUCAACUCAGGAGACUUACCAUGGGACCACAGAAUAUUUCAUAAGUGAGCUUACGCUAGUUUUAAAUAGGCAAGUUCCUACCUUGGAAAACCUGGUUUGACUAAUAUCAAAGGGAGCUCCAUAAUACACAGAACAAGAAGGAGACCAACAACAGCACUGUGUGACAUUUUAGCCACUUGUGAUACCACUCUCUGGGUAAGGAAAACUAUAGAAACAAUAACUCAUGAAGCCAAUUUCUAGCCUUUUGAUUUUUUUUUUUUUUUUUUUUUUUUCCACAUAGGAUCCACAUUUAACAUGUGGCUUGACCUCAUGGCCCUGAGAUUAACAGUUGCAUGUUCUACCAACUGAGCCAGCCAGGUGCCCUUUUAAACAGAACUCUCAAACAAGGCUAAAGACAGUUGUGGCAUUCACAUUCUCCAAUGUCUCCCCCAAGAAUAUCACCCCAAGAACACCUAAUAAAUUUCCCUUUAGUAAAUCAAACUCAAACUUUACAGCUUACUUUAUAUAUUGCAGUUUUUUCCAAAAACACAAGUUGUGUUAUUUACAAGUAAAAUAUGCAUAUAUAAUGCACCUCAUUUAAUGUAGAGGUCGUAUGGAAACCUUGAAUAUCUGGGUCAUAUCAGAGCAUCCCCAAAUAAGCAAACACUCACAUACCACAGAAAUAGAAAGACCCAAAUCCAGGCAUUAAGGACUGUUCUCAUUAUAAACCCCUCAAUUUCUCAUACAGAGCCAGCUUGUUCUAACUGUGAACAUAAUUUUACCGAGUUUGGUCAUCUGGUUUUCUUUUUAAUAAACAGAACAUUAGAAAGAGUAAGGCAGAAGGGAUCAGUAUUCUGUUACAGACAGGCACACAGUUGAUCUAAAACUCAAGAGAAAAAAAUUUUUAAACCCAUAAAGAGCAAAACUAAAUUCAAGGGCAUUGGCAGGACUGGGCCAUUUUGUCAAAUUACAGAGUCCUAUAAACAUUAUCCCCUGAAGGCAUCUCUGCAUUAAGAUACAGAGUAAUUAUGAACAUACAAAAGGACAGCCCAGAAAAGAUAAAAUUAAGUGCUAAAAAUUUAGCAUAAGAUGUAAAUGGGUAAUAUUUAGAAUAACUGUCAUCAAAGAGAGUAGAAUAAAAACAAGUUUUGCUGCUGUGGAGGCUGGGAUCACUUCAAUCGAUUGGAUCCCCAUUAUGUGCCAGGUACUGUACAAGGGGUUUUGCCAAUAUGAUUACAUUUACCUUUCAAAACAUUCUUUUGUGAUUGGUCACCACUUUAAAAAGGAAAUUGUAUAUGAAAACUGAGGCAGACAGAUUAAAUAGCGGAGCAUGACUAGACCCAGGUCUCUGUGAGUUCAAAGCUUUUUAAUAAAAUUUCCAGAUACAGAAAUGUAACUUACAAUUCCAGAUAAAUAAGGCAUUACUAUACCUAAUUAUUCUGCUCUGACCUCCAUUAUACUAUUAAAUUCUUAUAUUAGUUCUUAGCCAUUUGAAAAGCUAACUUUGAUGAUGUCAUUUAUCUUUUAAUUAUUUGGGGGGCCUUUUCAUGGUCUAUAAUCAUAUUUCUCACAAGGAAAUCCAUAAAUACUACUGAGAACCUCAGAGUUGAUAUCUCAUAGCAUUAAUUAAAAAGAAACUUAAAGAUGCCUUAAAAGUAUGAAGCAAUAAGUGCCACUUCCUAAAUGAGUCCUAUGUGUCACACAGUGUGUUAAUAUGCUGUAUAUACAUAUUAUUCAUCUAUACAUUUAUACAUUUGAUACCCACACCUGAUACUGAGGUGUUCACAUAUUUU